CUUCCCAUCUAUCUUAAGGACUGUGUAUACAUGUUCGAUCUGUGUAGAAGCCAUGGAUAACUCCAAAAGGCAGUUCCCUUCCCUCCAGCCUGUCAGCAUUUUAUCACAUCUGUUAUGAACAUCUGUAGCUUUGCUGCCUUACCUGACACAAGGAUUCACUUAAUCCUGCUGAGUAAAGGGGAGUGGGGGGAGAGGCUCCACAUAUUCCUGUAGAAGUGACUCAAAGCACAGGAUAUGAACUCACCUGCUCUCCAUAUUCAAUCCAUUGGCCUUCGUUAUUCUUCCAAUACCAAAUCCACUGUGUGUCAGCACGAUGUGGGUUUUGUGACUGAUGAUGGGUGUAGAGAGGCGUCGAACCGGAGAAGAAGAGCAGGUCAUUGUCUGGAAGUUAAUGUUCCUGCCUGCUAUGCUGUAAGGACAAAUUCAGGGUUUUACAGUUAACAGUAGAUCUUUUAUCCUCUAAUCCUCUGUUUAGGCUUGUGCAAUUUUCUUUAAUAUAAUGUGACUGAACCUAAUUAGACCUGAAUAAGAGUAUUUUCCACAACACAUGACAGCUCUGAAAAGCUAUAUCCAAGCUUCAUAAGCAAACUAUGGCCUGUGAGACAUGGUAUGCCAUCUCAGUCACUGGCCAUAUGUGGCACUGCCAGCUUUACAGACAGCACAGGACUACAAGUACAGCAUGGCAAAAGGUACUCUGCAAUAAGGAAAGUUUCCAGUUUGUCUCAGUACAAAACCAGAAUUUUGUAGGUACACGCAGCUUAUCAACUUGGUUCUUUUCCUGUGGUUACAAAGGAUGUAAUCACAACCAUCACAGCUGUGAGGUCUGCAAACUGUAUUCGUCACUGGAGCUCUGGGCUCUUACUCCUGUGAGGCUUGAAAAGUUAACUUCCAGGCAGGAAGACUUUGAAAGCAGCCUCCUCUUGUGAAUCUUGCUUGUGAUCUGCACCAUCCACCAAGAUGCAAAGUCAUCUGUUGCCUUAAGAGGCAUGGGCCAAAAUUACUAUACAUUUUUGAAGCCAGACUUGGAGUCCCCUAUGAAUCCAGGUGGCACAGUGGGGCUUUCAGAAAGGACUUAACAUAGAAAGAAAAACAGGAAAAAAAGAGAUAUGCUGCUUACACAAGGGCCAUCUCAUAAAAUGUCUCUAGGCACACAACAGAUAUUGCUAUUAUUAUUAUUACUGUUGUUGUUAUUUUUAUUACGCAUACUAGCUGUAGUAGGAAAAGAACAGCCAGAGAGAAGGACCAGCUCUGAUAUGUUGUUACAAGGCCCAACUUCAUUACUGUAAAUAAAUUAUGAUUCAUUAUCUGAAAUGCUGAUAUUCUAAACACUGUAUUCCACUCGCUUUUUACCCUGCACAAAGCUUUAAAUGUAAGAUACAGUUUUGUUAUUUUUAGAAGACAUAAAUGGGGUGAUAUUGCCAUGCAAUCACUUUUACUUUGCUUUUUAAAAGGAAAAAUUCUCAUUUGUAAAUCCUCCCAGAUUCUGAGAGGCUCAGUAGCCAGAAGUUAUUGAAGUCAGACAUCUUUGGAAGAAAAUGGGAGGUUUUCCACAGGGGCUCAAUUCGCAGUACUCCAAGCAAGGAGUCCAGCAUCACUAUACCUGCUGUUUUUUGGGUCACAAUAGGCCUUUUCAAUUUCCUCCAUCAUGGAAAGGUCUUUCCAGGUGAUCCCAUCAUAUAUCUCCCAUUUAUAUGGCAAAUGGUAAUGAACAGAUUUGCAUUUAUCUGUAAUAAGAUCAGACAUAGUCGAAUUCUGUAAUCAUAACACAGAGAGCAAAACAACAAAACCCAAAAAGGAACCAGCAGACUUUACACCUUGAGGCUUUCUCCCUGGGCUUUGGUUUGAGCAAUGAAGACAGAGUGCUGAAAACAGGAGGGGGGUGUGUUUCUCCAGUGAGUGAGUGAGAAGGCACAAUUGCCACUGACACUCCAUAUGCCACCACUAGCCCAAGCCACUGAGCAGGGACUGUCUCUGCAGUCACUGUUCUCCAGUGACUACAUUACUUUUUAUAAAGCUUACCCUUAUGUUUGCAGUACUUCCAGACAUAGAACACACAGAUCUCAUCACAGUUAACUUCUUUGUUGUCCUUUGAAGCUUCAGCAGAGGAAUCGUCCUUUUUUAUCUACAGGAAAGAACACAUCAGUCCUUAUUUGCUUCAAGAGAAAGACACUGCUUGGUACUUCAUCCAGAAUAACAAAGAUUUGACUGCAGUAGGCAAGUAAGCACUUUCAGGAUCUGACUAUCCCCAUACAGCCCCCACACGAGUCAGGGCUUUGUGGACUGACCAAUAAGCCCUGACAACUGGAAGAAGUCUCAGUGGAGAAGCGCAAGGGCAGUGUCAGGAAGAGUAACACAGGCUGUGGCUGACCAUGGUUCUUGCAAAGCAGCCAACUUGUCUCCACACCACGGGAAGCAGAGGGUGGAUAAUGGCAGUGUCAGCUCAGCGGAUCAAUGCAGGUAGAAAUUUUUCUCCCUGAGUUGGCCAGACCAGCAUGGGGGGAGUUCAGCCCAACACGGAGGUGCUAAAACUAAAGAACUAACAAAGAAUUCUCAAGACAGCAACAGGCUUCAGCUGGCUUCAGCCCUUCCCAGAGACUGGGGACACCCAGCUUUGUGACAAUGAGCGUAUUAUACAGACCUGUAAUGGGAGUGCCAUUAGCAUUGUGAUUGAACUGUGCAUUGCAACUGCUACAUUUGGGUACAGAAGGCAAGGAAAGGUAUCUGUCUCCUUCAGUUGUGUCCAGGACAGUACAGAGAUCGGUCCCAGGCUACUCCUCGUGGUGGUGCUUGGGCAGAAAUCCCAGCACUGCGGCUCUCAGCGCACCGUAAGACCUUGAUGCACCAAAAUGUGCAGGCCUAGGAAGACUGGAAAGGAAAUGGGACCUUGCUUCCUAGUCUCCAUCAUCUCUGGAGAAGAAGCAACAAACUGGGUUUUGGUCAUCAUACCUCUUAUCCUGUUGCACUGAGAUAGAACUCCACAUGCUCUGUUACCCUCUCCCAUUCCUGGUGAACAAAAAGCUUCUUUUAAGACAUCGGUACAACUCACAUCAGGGAGAAGAAAGUGUCGUUUGGAGAAGCAGGAUUCGCAGCUCAUCCUCACUGAGGCCAGACAAAUCAUGUUUUUUUAGAACUUUUUUGUUCUCAGCACUGGUGAUGUCAUGCGAGUACUUACAAGAGCUGCAAGAAAACAGACAGACACAUCAAUGUUUACCUCCAUGAGUCAGGCUGAUUUAAAGAAGAACCUCAGAAAACGUGCAACUUCGGAAAAGCCAUGAGAGAAAGGGGGACUUGGCAAAAGUCUCUAUAAACAUUUAGGUGGUCUCUGCAAUUAGCCAGAGGAACAGACCAACAGCAUAACUCCUCUGUGAAAUGCAGGAGAGUUAUCAUCCCCAUGUGAAACACCAGCGUGGCCACACCACUUUAAAAAAAACUUAGCAGCACAAAUUUGAAGCCACGUCUGUCUAUCUCACACAUUCUUCACCUCCAGUAAAAUACAAGUCAGUGUCCACAUGAUCUGAACAGCUGGAGGGAAAGUUAAUUUUAGAGCAAUACACCACAACACCGGAGGUUGCAACACCCUUGAUUCUGUGAAUGUAAAAGGUUGUUGUCCCAGGAUGGCAUGUAAGGAAAGAUGCAAGAGUCUAAGAGAGCAAAACAAAGAGAUAGUGAAGCUGAAAACAACAAAAUUUGUUAUCUUUGCUGGCUGGAAAGUUUGGUUUUUUAGAACAAAACAAACAAGCAAAAAAACCUCCCAAAAAACAAAAACAACAAACCAAAAUGAAAUAAGAAAAUACAGCUUCUUCAUGUCCUGCUCUCUAGCAGGUGAUCUGAUGCAGCCUUAAGACUAGACAUACUCAUCCAGCAAAAGUAUCUGUUAAUCUGACUCCAGAGUCAAGUCUAUGAUCCCUAUACUCUUUCAGCCUCUAGUUAACUCUUGAAACUCACCUUGUGAAAGCUUUUUUGUCUGAUCCAAUCCUUCUAUACAGACACUUGAGUACAUAUUUCACCCCUGACCCCUGCUACCUGUUGGACACAUUGCUUUGUAAGCAAAUAAACAAGGUUGCAAAGUCUGAAGGGCAGAAGUGUGCCAUCUUUGAUGCUGAGAAACAGUCUUCUAGGGCUAUUAGGUGCUGUAGGCACUCAAUAAAUGGCUGUGAAGGUAGGUAAGCCACAGAGUACUUGAGCUGUGAGCCAUCACCAGUGUUCCUCCACAGUCGACUUCAGAUUCCCCGACAGUCACACAGUGAGUCCAUAUUUCUAAGUCAAAGGUUAAAACACUCCACAAAUACAAUGAUAACUAAACAACUGAGUUCAAUAACACAUUCAGGAAAGAAAAACAAAACAAUGAAAAGCUACUUGCGAGACAGUUAAAAACAGGAUUAACUGGACUAAAAUUGUGAUUCCACUAAAUACAAGACCACAGUAACUUGUACAGACGUUUUUCUUUCCAGGGAUUCUAAAACAAAAGGGAUGCAAAGUCUGGAAGCAAGGCUAGAUUUUACCGUAUCAGUUAGAAAAUUGUCUCUCUCUUGAUCUAUGUGGUCCACCCAGCAGUGUUUCUGUCCCCUCGUUUUAAUCAACCUCCCUCCCAUGAAAGGCAUACUCUUUGCUUUAUUAAUUUUUAACACAUACUAAGGUGAUUUUAAAUACUUAGUGCUAUUGAGAGGACAGAGUGGUUUAUCAUUACUAAGGGAAUCACCUCAUUGCACGUUUUAAUUCACAGAGUCAUCCAGCGUGAGUGCCUACGCGCACCUGAAGGCAUUUCUAACACUGAAUCCCAGGGAAGCUCAUCGUUCUGUCAGUAAUGCAACAAACAGUAAGAAAAUCUUAUUAUCCUUGUGGUUUGCUAGUACACUGAGAGACACAGCCUUUCCCCUCCAAGCUCUUCAGAUCCGAGCACACAGCCAUCUGUUUUAUUGGGGCAGAACAGGAAGGAGCCGCUGGGGUACCAGCAGUAGGUACCACCUUUGCCUGCCCUGCCCUUCCCGGGAGUCCUCCGUAUUCCGGAAGCCGGGAUUGAUGUACAUGGGCGAUCAAGCAGUGCCUCUCACAGAAAAGUCUGUAAGCGAAGCGCCAGUUCCAAUGAAAACAUGCAUUUCUGCAUUAAUCCACUUAGAAAUCUGAACUACUGGUCUGAGGAGCUUUGCUGGAUACUUCGUUGGAACAGUAUCAUCAGCACAGAGCAGGAAAGUAAAGCAGAAAGAAGCUGCAAAUGCAGUCGUGGCAAGCAUGUUCUAUUCUCCACUUAAAUACGUUCAAGAAGGGUUUUGGUUCAGGCCUGAGCGAAAACAAAGAAACAUUGGUGCAUUUAUCCUGUUUAUUGGUAUGUUUUGCAAAUAUAAAUGCCCCAAUACUUGACUUCCUUAACCUACUUCAAACAGAACCAGUUUAUGUGAAACAACACAACUGGGUGAGGCAAAAGAUAUCACUGCAUGGGACGGGAGUCCCAAAUCGGUGUCAUUUUCAUAGGGCAGUGAGUGAUUCCAGCCUUCAAUAUCAAGGCUUUGUUUAAGUUAGACACCAGUGGAAGAGUAGCUGGAUUGCUGCAACCUUUUGCUGCUGUUUAAAAUGCAGUCCCUGUGCAUCUGUCUCUCUGAUGUCCUCUACUUGCAGCUGCAAUAUCUCCUUGUUUGCCCUGCCUCUGCUAUUCAGCUGACUCCGUAGUAAGUGAAAUCAGCUUUCAGAGACUUGAAACUGAAGUUUUGAUUCGUAUGAGCAAAGCGUGCAUGGAAAUGGGUGUGUGUGAGCACCAGAAGAAACAGCAGAACAAAGGUUAAAAGAAUGGCCUGUGUUGAUAAUCAAAAACACAGCAGUAAAGGCAGCAAAAUCGAGAAACACUUUCUGUCAAACCAGGCAAAUCUGCACACUGGAGCACAGCCAACUUGUCAGCAGAAGAGCCUACCAUCUGACAGCUGGACAUGGCAGGAAGAUACAGCACAUCACAAAUACCGUUUAUUUCCUGUUGGUCCCACUGGAAGCAAACCAUAAAAUAAGGAAACGCAGAAAAUGGGCAAAUAAGUUCCAUAAGGUGCAUGGAGGUAGAAGUAACUGGACUGUGAAGCACAAGGAUGCCACCACAGUCAGUGCUGGGUCCCACUAGCUUUCCUACCUGCUAGUGGGCAGAAAAGACCCCUCCAAGGCGGCUUGCCACUGGCAGUGAAAAGUAACACAAGAGAUACCAAAAGGGUGGGAUGGUUGGUGCCCAUCUUCCCUUAUGCUGCUUGCAAUGUGGGUCCUGCAAAAACCUGUGGAGCACAAACACUCAGGAGCUGUGAGUAUAAGGUUUUGACAGCGUGAACCAAGUUGACUAUUGAGUUGCUUGACUGCAUUCCAGGAUGAAGAGCCCUGCUACACUGGCUCACGUGAUCUCUUGGGGUGCUCUCAGACCCUCUGUGGGCUCUGGGGCUCUGCAGGGCUGGGAUUGGGAGGGUGGGGUGGGAGCUGGAA